ensembl:lncRNA
CAGGGAUGCUGGCCCAUGUUGACUCUACAAGGUGUUGAAAGCGUUCCACAGGGAUGCUGGCCCAUGUUGACUCUACAAGGUGUUGAAAGGGUUCCACAGGGAUGCUGGCCCAUGUUGACUCUACAAGGUGUUGAAAGCGUUCCACAGGGAUGCUGGCCCAUGUUGACUCUACAAGGUGUUGAAAGCGUUCCACUGGGAUGCUGGUCCAUGUUGACUCUACAAGGUGUUGAAAGCAGGGAUACUGGCCCAUGUGGACUCUACAAGGUGUUGAAAGGGUUCCACAGGGAUGCUGGCCCAUGUUGACUCUACAAGGUGUUGAAAGCAGGGAUACUGGCCCAUGUGGACUCUACAAGGUGUUGAAAGCAGGGAUGCUGGUCCAUGUUGACUCUACAAGGUGUUGAAAGCAG